rnacentral:rRNA from 1 species
AUUGAACGCUGGCGGCAUGCUUUACACAUGCAAGUCGAACGGUAACAGGCCUUCGGGUGCUGACGAGUGGCGAACGGGUGAGUAAUGCAUCGGAACGUACCCAGAGGUGGGGGAUAACGCAGCGAAAGCUGUGCUAAUACCGCAUGUGAUCUGAGGAUGAAAGCGGGGGACCGAGCAGCAAUGUUUGGCCUCGCGCCUUUGGAGCGGCCGAUGUCGGAUUAGCUAGUUGGUGGGGUAAAGGCCUACCAAGGCGACGAUCCGUAGCUGGUCUGAGAGGACGACCAGCCACACUGGGACUGAGACACGGCACAGACUCCUACGGGAGGCAGCAGUGGGGAAUUUUGGACAAAGGGCGCAAGCCUGAUCCAGCAAUGCCGCGUGCGGGAAGAAGGCCUUCGGGUUGUAAACCGCUUUUGGCAGGAACGAAACGGUGUCCGCUAAUACCGGGCGCUAAUGACGGUACCUGCAGAAUAAGCACCGGCUAACUACGUG